UAAUACGUAGGGUGCGAGCGUUGUCCGGAAUUAUUGGGCGUAAAGGGCUCGUAGGCGGUUUGUCGCGUCGGGAGUGAAAACCUUGGGCUUAACUCAGGGCUUGCUUUCGAUACGGGCAGACUAGAGGUAUGCAGGGGAGAACGGAAUUCCUGGUGUAGCGGUGAAAUGCGCAGAUAUCAGG
rnacentral:rRNA from 1 species